rnacentral:rRNA from 1 species
AUGAUGGGUAGGGGAGCUUCCCAUACGGGUUGAAGCAUGACCGUAAGGACAUGUGGACAGUAUGGGAGUGAGAAUGUUGGCAUGAGUAGCGAGAUGUGGGUGAGAAUCCCACAGGCCGUAAACCCAAAGUUUCCAGGGGAAGGUUCGUCCGCCCUGGGUUAGUCGGGACCUAAGCUGAGGCCGAAAGGCGUAGGUGAUGGACAACAGGUUGAUAUUCCUGUACUACCGAUAACCGUUUGAGAGA